UUAUUAUUUGGUGUUUGCGUUGAGCAUAGACAUGAUUGGAUUAUGUUUAUCGCAAUACGGUUAUUCAUUAAAGGAGAAUAAUGGUUACUCUGUCUAUUUGAAUAAUACCUUCAAUGGUCUUGCACCUAAAUGAAUGGUUUAUUGAAUCUCGAUCGUAGUGAUACACAUGUUCAUGCCAAAAGAUAUAAGAUAGUAAUGAUAGUACCACAUACUUGUGGCACUGCCACUUGAGUCAUAUUGGUAUAAAACGCAUGAAGAAGCUCCAUGUUGAUGGAUCUUUGGACUCACUCGUUUUUUAAAAGAUUGAGACAUGCAAACCAUGUCUAUUAGUAUAUAUGCAUGAAGAAAGUCCAUACAGAUGGAUCAUUUGGACUCACUUGAUUUUGAAUCACUUGAGACAUGCAAAUCAUACCACAUGGGCAAGAUGACUGAAAGGCCUCGUUUUCAGUAAGAUGGAACAAGAGAGCAACUUGUUGGAAGUAAUACAUUUGAUGUAUGCAGUCCAAUGAGUGUUGAGGCACGCAGUGGAUAUCAUUAUGUUCUUACUUCACAGAUGAUUUGAGUAGAUGCUGAGAAUAUUUACUUGAUGAAACACAAGUCUGAAUUAUUGAAAGGUUCAAGUAAUUUCAGAGUGAAGUUGAAGAUCGUCGUGACAAGAGGAUAAAAUUUCUGUGAUAUGAUCAUAGAGAUGAAUAUCUGAGUUAUGAGUUUGGCACACAAUUAAGAAAUUAUGGAAAUUGUUUCACGACUAAUACCGCCUAGAACACCAUAUUGUGAUGGUGUGUCCGAACAUCAUAACUGCACCCUAUUGGAUAUGGUGCAUACCAUGAUGUCUCUUAUCAAAUUACAACUAUCGUUUAUGGGUUAGGCAUUAGAGACAACCGCAUUCACUUUAAAUAGGGCACCACGCAAUUCCGUUGAGACGACACCGUAUGAACUAUGGUUUAGAGAAACCUAAGCUGUCAUUUCUUAAAAGUUUGGGGCUGCGACGCUUAUGUGAAAAAGUUUCAGGCUGAUAAGCUCGAACCCAAAGCGGAUAAAUGCAUCUUCAUAGAAUACCCAAAACAGUUGGGUAUACCUCCUAUUUCAGAUCUGGAAGCAAAAGUGAUUGUUUCUAGAAACGGGUCCUUUCUCGAGGAAAAGUUUCUCUCGAAAGAAUUGAGUGGGAGGAUGGUGGAGACUUGAUGAGGUCAUUGAACCGUCACUUCAACUAAUGUGUAUCAGGGCACAAGAAGUUGUUCCUGUGGCACCUACACCAAUUGAAGUGGAAGCUUAUGAUAGUGAUCAUGAAACUUCAGAUCAAGUCACUACCAAACCUCAUAGGACGACAAGGAUGCGUACUACUUCAGAGUGGUACGUAAUCCUGUCUUGGAAGUCAUGUUGCUAGAACAAAAUUAACCUACGAGCUAUGGAGGAGCGAUGGUGGGCCCGGAUUCCGAUGAAUGGCUCAAGGCCAUAAAAUCCGAGAGGAUCCAUGUAUGAAAACAAAGUAUAGACUUUGAAAGAACUACUUGAUGGUCGUAAGGCUGUUGGGUACAGAUGGAUUUUAAAGGGAAGACAGACAAUGAUGGUAAGUGUCACCAUUAAGAAAGCUCGACUUGUCGUUAAGAUGUUUUCCGGCAAGUUCAAGGAGUUGACUGCGAUGAGACCUUCUCACUCGUGGCGAUGCUAAGAGUCUGUUAGAAUUAUAUUAGCAGUUACUGCAUUAUUUAUGAAAUCUUGCAGAUAGGAUGUCAAAACAUUGUUUCCUCGACGAUUUUCUUGAGGAAAGGUUGUAUGUGAUACAACCAGAAGAUUUUGUCAAUCCUGAAAGAUGCUAACAAGUAUGCAAAGCUCCAGCAAUCCUUCUAAGGAUUGGAGUAAGCAUCUCGGAGUUGGAAUGAACGCUUUGAUGAGAUGAUCAAAGAUUUUGGGUUUAUACAAAGUUCAUGAGAAACUUGUAUUUCCAAAGAAGUGAGUGGGAGCACUAUAGAAUUUUUGAUGAGUAUAUGUUGUUAUCAUAUUGUUGAUCAGAAAUGAUGUAGAAUUUCUGGAAAGCAUCCAGGGUUAUUUGAAAAGUGUUUUUAAUGGAAAACCUGGAUUAAGCUACUUGAACAUUGAGCAUCAAGAUCUAUAAGGAUAGAUCAAAAAACGCUUAAUAGUACUUUCAAAUGAAUACAUACCGUGACAAGAUUUUGAAGGAGUUCAAAAUAGAUCAGCAAAGAAGGAGUUCUUGGCUGUGUUACAAGGUGUGAGUAUUGAGUAAGACUCAAGACCUGACCACGGCAGAAGAAAGAGAAAGGACGAAGGUCGUCCCCUAGGCUUUAGACGUAGGCUCUACAAUAUGCUAUGUUGGGUACCACACCUGAAGUGUGCCUUGCCAUGAGUUAGUCAAGGGGUACAAUAGUGAUCCAGGAAGGGAUCACAUGACAGCGGUCGAACUUAUCCUUAGUAUCUAAUGGACUAAGGAAUUUUCUCGAUUAUGGAGGUGGAAAGGGGGGUUCGUCGUAAAGGGUUACGUCGAUGCAAACUUUGACACUAAUCCGGAUGACUCUGAGUAGUGAACCGGAUUCGUAUAGUAGAGCAGUUAUUUGGAAUAGCUCCAAGUAGCGCGUGGUAGUUUCAUCUACAAGAUGACAUAGAGAUUUGUAAAGCACACACGGAUCUGAAUGUUGCAGACCCGUUGACUAAAACCUCUCUCGUAAGCAUAACAUGAUCAAACCCUAGAACUCAUUGAGUGUUAAUCACAUGGUGAUGUGAACUAGAUUAUUGACUCUAGUAAACUCUUGGGUAUUAGUCACAUGGCGAUGUGAACUUUGAGUGUUAAUCACAUGGUGAUGUGAACUAGAUUAUUGACUCUAGUGCAAGUGGGAGACUGUUGGAAAUAUGCCCUAGAGGCAAUAAUAAAAUGGUUAUUAUUGUAUUUCCUUGUUCAUGAUAAUUGUCUGUUGUUCAUGCUAUAAUUGUAUUAACUGGAAACCAUAACAUAUGUGUGAAUACAUAGACCAGAACAUGUCCCUAGUAAGCCUCUAGUUGACUAGCUCGUUGAUCAAUAGAUGGUUAUGGUUUCCUGACCAUGGACAUUGGAUGUCAUUGAUAACGGGAUCACAUCAAUAGGAGAAUGAUGUGAUGGACAAGACCCAAUCCUAAGCAUAGCACAAGAUCGUGUAGUUCGUUUGCUAGAGCUUUUCUAAUGUCAAGUAUCAUUUCCUUAGACCACGAGAUUGUGCAACUCCCGGAUACCGUAGGAAUGCUUUGGGUGUACCAAACGUCACAACGUAACUGGGUGGCUAUAAAGGUGCACUACAGGUAUCUCCGAAAGUGUCUGUUGGGUUGGCACGAAUCAAGACUGGGAUUUGUCACUCCGUAUGACGGAGAGGUAUCUCUGGGCCCACUCGGUAAUGCAUCAUCAUAAUGAGCUCAAUGUGACUAAGGAGUUAGCCACGGGAUCAUGCAUUACGAUACGAGUAAAGUGACUUGCCGGUAACGAGAUUGAACAAGGUAUUGGGAUACCGACGAUCGAAUCUCGGGCAAGUAACGUACUGAUUGACAAAGGGAAUUGUAUACGGGAUUGAUUGAAUCCUUGACAUCGUGGUUCAUCCGAUGAGAUCAUCGUGGAACAUGUGGGAGCCAACAUGGGUAUCCAGAUCCCGCUGUUGGUUAUUGACCGGAGAGUCGUCUCGGUCAUGUCUGCAUGUCUCCCGAACCCGUAGGGUCUACACACUUAAGGUUCGGUGACGCUAGAGUUGUAGAGAUAUUAGUAUGCGGUUAAACCAAAGUUGUUCGGAGUCCCAGAUGAGAUCUCGGACAUCACGAGGAGUUCCAGAAUGGUCCGGAGGUAAAGAUUUAUAUAUGGGAAGUCCUAUUUUGGCCACCGAAAAAUGUUCGGGAUUUUUCGGUAUUGUACCAGGAAGGUUCUGAAGUGGGGCCCACCUGCAUGGGUGGACCCACAUGAACGUGGGUAGUAGGGGCAAGGCCCCACACCCCUGGUCAAGGCGCACCAAGAUCCCACCUUAGAAGGAAUAAGAUCAUAUCCCGAAGGGAUAAGAUCAAGAUCCCUAAAAAAGGGGGAUAACAAUCGGUGGGGAAGGGAAAUGAUGGGAUUUCUUUCCCCCACCUUUGCCAACGCCCCAAUGGACUUGGAGGGCAAGAAACCAGCCCCCUCCACCCCUAUAUAUAGUGGGGAGGCGCAUGGGAGCAGCACCCCAAGCCCUGGCGCCUCCCUCCCUCCCGUGACACCUCUUCCUCCCCGCUUGCGCUUGGCGAAGCCCUGCCGGGAUCCCGCUACUUCCACCACCACGCCGUCGUGCUGCUGGAUCUCCAUCAACUUCUCCUCCCCCUUGCUGGAUCAAGAAGGAGGAGACGUCCCCGCUCCGUACGUGUGUUGAACGCGGAGGUGCCGUCCGUUCGGCGCUAGGAUCAUCGGUGAUUUGGAUCACGACGAGUACGACUCCAUCAACCCCGUUCUCUUGAACGCUUCCGCGCGCGAUCUACAAGGGUAUGUAGAUGCACUCCCCUCUCUCUCGUUGCUAGAUGACUCCAUAGAUUGAUCUUGGUGAUACGUAGAAAAUUUUAAAUUUCUGCUACGUUCCGCAACAUUGCUAUGCCCUUCUCUGGCUCGACGCAGCGCUGGAAGACUCCAGUGACGCUACGCUUGACAAGUUCUCUGUUUAUUAUUGCAUAUGCUCCGGCUCGGCGUUGCACUAGUCUUGCCGAGAUCUCAUCAGUCGGCAGCUCUCUGUUGACUAGGAAGUUGAGGAUGGGCUGGGCCCAUGAUGGAGCUGUGACUUCUUCUACUGUCAGUACGGCCACUGUGACCCGGGUGGGUGGGUUGGGUGGUGGAGAGUUGGAGUCGGCCACUGCUUCUUGUGUCGCUGCAGUCCCCGGGCCGACUGCUGCAGUCCCCGGGCCGGGUUCUGAAGUCCCCGAGCCGGGUGCGACUACGGCAGUCCCCGGGCCGCUUGUCGAGGUCCCCGAGCCGCCUGCCGGGUUCCUCCAGUCGGAUCCGGCUGCAUCAGGGGCGGGUGGUAUGAAGAUAGAGUCCGAUUCUGGAGACGGCUUGAGGAGGCGUUGGAGAGAGACACCGGUUGGUAUAGCCUGUCGGGUGGAGCCGAUCCGUGCCAGGGCAUCUGCUUGGUCGUUGUCGGCCCGUGGCACGUGAAGGAACUCGCACCCUUCAAAGUAUCCACUGAUAUGCUGGACGAGGAAUCGAUAGCUCGCCAUGUUUGCAUCCUUGGCGUCCCAGUCACCAGAUGACUGCUGGACCACCAAGUCCGAGUCGCCAUAACACAGGAUCCGGCUUAUGCCGAGCUCUUUGGCUAGCCGGAGCCCGUGUAUGAGCGCCUCGUACUCAGCCACAUUGUUGGGGGCAGCAAAAUGGAUUUGCAGCGUGUAUUUGAGCUUGUCGCCUUUGGGAGACGUGAGGACAAUGCCGGCUCCCAAGCCAGUGCGCAUCUUGGACCCGUCGAAGUGCAUCCGCCAAUGAGUGGAGUCGGGAGCUGGCGGUAGGUACUGGGUUUCGGCCCAGUCGACAAGGAAGUCGGCAAAUGCUUGAGACUUGAUGGCGGUGCGGGGCUGGUAGAAGAUUGUGUAAGGCCCCAGCGCAAUGGCCCAUUUAGCCACCCGGCCGGAUGCAUCCCGGCUGCCUAUGAUCUCGGCAAGCAGGGCGGUACAUACGACCGUGAUGGGAUGCUCUUGAAAGUAGGGCUUCAGCUUCUUGGCGGCGAAGUACACUCCAUAGCACAUCUUCUGGUAGUGCGGGUAGUUUUGCUUUGAGGUGGACAGUACUUCGCUUAAAUAAUAUACCGGCCUCUGGACUAACUGGGCUCGGCCUUCUUCUGGGCACUGGACCACGAUGACUGUGCUGACCACUCGACUAGUCGCGGCAAUGUAGAGGAGCAUGGGCUCCUUCUCAGUCGGCGCCGCCAGGACAGGUGGAGUGGUCAGCAUCUUCUUCAACUCAUGGAAGGCUUGGUCUGCUUGGUCGUUCCACUCGAAGUGAGUGGAUUUCUUCAUGAGUCGGUACAGGGGGAGAGCCUUUUCUCCUAGCCGGCUGAUGAAGCGGUUUAGGGAGGCCAGGCACCCGGUGAACUUCUGCACGUCUCGCAACUUGGUGGGAAUCUCCAUUCUCUCAAUGGCCUUAAUCUUCACAGGGUUGCACUCAAUGCCGCGUUCAGAGACCAAAAAGCCUAGAAGCUGGCCGGCUGGUACUCCGAACGCACAUUUCUCGGGGUUGAGCUUGAUCUGGAAUCGGCGCAAGUUGGCAAAUGUUUCUUUAAGGUCUUCCGGCAGGGUACCGCGCUUCUCCGUCUUCACCACAAUAUCGUCUACGUAGACGUGGGCAUUUCUGCCGAGUUGCUUGAGGAGGCAUUUCUGCAUGCAACGCUGAAAAGUGGCACUGGCAUUCCUCAGGCCGAAUGUCAUAGUCAGGUAACAGAAAGCUCCGAAGGGUGUGAUGAAGGCGGUCUUCAGGCGGUCGGCUGGGUCCAACUUGAUCUGGUGGUAUCUUGAGUAGGCAUCCAAGAAACUCAACAGCUCGCAUCCGGCUGUGGAGUCUAUCACUUGAUCAAUCCGUGGCAGGGCAAACGGAUCUUUGGGGCAGGCUUUGUUGAGGCUAGUGUAGUCUAUACACAUACGCCAUUUGUUGUUCUUCUUCAACACCAAGACUGGGUUGGCAAGCCACUCUGGGAAAAACACUUCCAUAAUAAAGCCGGCGGCGAGGAGCCGGGCUAUCUCUUCUCCUACGAUUCUUCUCUUCUCCUCUGACAGUCGGCGAAGAGGCUGCUUGACUGGCUUCGCAUCCGCUCGGACUGUAACUUGUGCUCGGCGAAAUCCUUCGGAACACCCGGCAUGUCCUUUGGGGACCAUGCAAAGAUGUCUCGAUUCUCACGGAGGAAGUCGACGAGCUCGCCUUCCUAUUUACUGUCCAGGUUUGCUCCAAUGACAGCAAACCUCUCCGGGUUCUCCGGGUCCAGAGGUACCUUCUUCGUCUCCUUAGCCGGCUGGAAGGAGCCCUGCGCAUCAUAUUCCUUGGGGUUGGGGGACAGGGCCGGCUGCUUGCCGGCCAUGGCCACAACUCGCUCCAGCAUCUUCUUCUCUUCUGCAACCACGAGGGACUCGGCCAGCCGGCUGCUGGCUGCAGCGCACUCGAUGGACUUCUUGUAGUCGCCGGUUACAGUGAUGAUCCCCUUCGAGCUCGGCAUCUUCAUCUUGAGGUAGGCGUAGUGGGGCACAACCAUGAACUUGGCCAGGGCAGGUCGGCCAAGCAAGGCGUGGUAAGGGCUCUCUAGGUCCACUACCUCAAACCAGAUCGCUUCUCGGCGAAAGUGAUCCUUGUCUCCGAAGAGAACAUCCAUCUUAAUCUUGCCGAUUGGGGAACAGGACAGGCCGAGUACGAUGCCAUGGAACACGGUCCGGCUUGGCAUGAGCUGCUUUGCCUUGAGGUUCAACUUCUCCAUGGUGUCGCGGUACAGUAUGUUGAUACUGCUUCCGCCAUCAAUCAGCACGCGGGAGAAUCGGGCAGCUCGCCUCUCCGUCGCGAGGGUGACAUCCAACACCAAUGCGUAGGAGCCAGGAGACGGCAUCACCUCUGGGUGAUCGUCCCGGCUCCAGCUGAUAGGCCUUUCGGACCAAUGCAUGAACUCGGGGUUGCUGAAGGCGACUGCGUUGACCUCUUGGUGCUGUUGGCGCCGGCUGCGCUUGUCUUCAACCUGGCUCGUGAAGACGACGUAGGCGGCGUGCUCAUCUGGGAACUCAUCUUGAAUGGCUUCGACUGCUGGUCGAGCAGCCGGCUGCUGGGGGGCUGGAGGCGGCGCCAGCCCCUCGCCCUUGGAGAUCCGUGUGAGCCAGUGGCACUUCCGGGUCGUGUGGUUGGACGGCUUCGCGCCGCUGUGAAACUUGCAGGGGGCAUCGAGAGUCUGCUCGUAGGAGAAGGCCGGCUGCCAAGCCGACCUGCCGCCCUUCUUCUUGGGAGCCGGUCGCUCUUCGAGCUGCUCAUCUUCGACAGUGGCCACCUGCCGAUUGGUGGAAGGCGGCAUAGGGGCCUUGCGCUUGUGAUCGUUCUGGUAGGGGCGCCGGUUGGAGACACCAGCCGGCGUCUUGGGAGCCGGAGUGAGCACCAUCCCAGAGGCGUCCACUCGGAACUCGGUCUUCAUCGAGGAGUCGGCCGUGGCGUACUUGUCGUCUAUGACCAGCAGCUCGUCGAGGGCAGCCGGCUCGUUGCAGAGGAGUCGGUGCUUGAGGAGGGUGCCCUCUCGGCACCCGGCGGUGAAGUAUUCGAUGGCUUGAACCUCGUGCACCCCCUCGCAGGAGUUGCGGAGCUCGGCCCACCGCGUGAGGGAAUCGCGAGUCGAUUCGCUGGGCCCUUGGACGCACAAGGAGAGCUGGCGGGGCUUUGGAGGCCGCUUGUACGUGCUGGUGAAGUUGCGGACGAAGACUUCCGUGAAGUCCAGCCAACUGUUGACGCUGUAGGGCUUGAGGCUGUUCAGCCAGGUGCGCGCCGUGCCUUGAAGCAUAAGAGGGACGUACUUCACGGCUACGCGCCUGUUGCCGUUCGCUAUGCUGACAGCGGUAGAGUAGUCGAUGAGCCAAUCUUCCGGCUUCACUAAGCCGUUGUACUUGGGCGUGUCUCUGGGGAGCGAGAACCCUUUGGGGAAGGGCUCGUCGCGGAUGCGGGGGCCGAAGCAAGGCGGGCCGACAUCGUCUUCUUCUUCUAGCGCCAGGGACCGUGCUAGGCGGUCGAUCCGGUGGCGGGCGUCGUUCUCGCCGACUCCUUUGCGGUGGCCUAGUCGGCCACCGAGAGUCAGAUGCAUGACAUGCGGCGGGGUGGGAUAUCUCUCCCCACGAGGCGGGGGAGGAGGCGGAUUGCCUUGACGCUCCACCGCUCGAGGGCGGCCUUCUGCGUCGCGCUCGAUGGUGAUUCGAGUCCGGCUGCGGCUAGCAGCCGACUCCUUGUCUUUUCUUGCGCGGGCGCCGCUCGCAGUCGGCGACCGGGAUGUCGCGGCGUGUUCUCGGCGUGGGGGAGGACUCUCAGCGCGGGCGCCGGCUUCAUGCCGUUCUGCGGCCGCGUCGAUCAGCUGCUGGAUGCGCCUUGUCAUGUAGGGAAGCUCAUCAGCCCCCAGCCCAUUCAGCUCUUCUGCGGCCACCUGAGCGGCUCGCAGAUUCUCGAGCGGGGUGGCGUAGACUGGGCGGUCCGCUCCCAGCAUGCUGGCGAUGGCCGCGCCGCGCUUCUUGACGAGGCCGGCUCGGCUCGGCCCCAUGAGGCGGCGUACCAAAGGCGGCGCGGUCGACUUCGUGCUCGUGAGCCUCGGUGAGGCGUCUCAUGGAGGCUAUCUUCUGGCCCUCCGUGAUGAGGGCGAGGCGGCGUGCCUCCAGAGUCUCGGCGUCGGCGUCGGCCGGGAUGGGGACGGACAAGUCAUGCAUCGCCACUUGUAGGGCGUCGUGGGCGUUCUCGCCCGAGUCGGCGGCGUGGCUGAUGACCAGCACCUCAGUGACAGCGCUGCUGCCAGUGUCGGCUCGAGGGAGAGGGUCGUCGAAGACUACCACGUCGGAGGGGUAGGCAUCGAGCGAUGCCGUGUCGGAGUCGACAAGCAUCGGGUCGGUGGAGCCGACCGACUCCAAGUCCACAGCAAGCUCGCUGGAGACGUGAAGCUGGUCGAGGAGGCUGACGAGGCGGCUCUCGGGGUAGUCCGUGCCCGCGUCGGACGCGGGCUCAUCAGAGAUGCGAGUCUCGCCAAGAAGGUCGGCGAGGCAGCUCGCCGCGCAGGCGUCGUCGACACCUUGCAGUGCGUCAAGGCAAGCACCAUCGGGCGUAGCAGGCUGGCUACGUUCGCGGGGAGGAAAAGGGUUAUGUCCAGAACAGGUCUCCGGACGACGGUGCACCUGGCCCCACGGUGGGCGCCAAAUGUCGGGUGGUAGGUGCGACAUAUGCCAACGGUGGCUUAUCAUUGUGGGAGCCAGUAAGACAUCGCCGAUGCCUGGAAACGGGAUAAGGCGAAGGCAUGCACGCCGGCGGAUCUUACCCAGGUUCGGGGCUCUCCGUGGAGAUAACACCCCUAGUCCUGCUCUGCGGGGUCUCCGCAUGAUCACUAGAUCAAUACAAGUAGCUACAAGUGCUCCUUGAGCUGUUUGGCUAGAGGAAGAAGAAGGGCAAGGCUAGUUCUCCUUUUCUCUCUAUGUGGUGUGUGGAAUUCCAUGAGAUCAACCCUUUGCAUGGGUGUCCCGGGGGGUUUAUAUAGGCCUACCCCCAGGGGUACAAUGGUAAUCCGGCUGGGCGCGGGUCCCAGCCGUCAGUGUCUAUGCUCGCCGGCUUCUCCGCCGACCAUUGGGGUUCGCCGACUGGUGGGUCCCGCCGGCUGCCGGCCUCUUGGCCGACAGGCCGGCCCCAUCACUUGGGGGCCUUGUCGGCGGCUGGUUACUGUUGCCUCGCCUAUGAUGACGAGGGCUUUGUCGAGGUAAGCAUGGCUACAGUGCCGCCGCCUUGCGGGCUCUCACUGUAGCCUUACCUCGUCUUGUCUCCUUAAUGAGGCACAUGUUUCGAGGGAGGGAGGUAGCCGGCUAUUGGGAGCCGGCCACGCCCCUGGCCGACUAGGGGAGGCCGGGCCGCCUUCGAGUGUCUCUCUGGCUAAAGGGGGCCGCCGCCCGCGGGCCGUACUAGCGCCUGUCGUGGGUGACGUCGAGGUCAACAUGGCUACAGUGCCGCGCCGGACGGGAGAUGGCUGACUCGUACGGCGCCCUGUGGCCAUGCCUGCUUCGGGAUUCGGGGUAGUGGGCUGUACUGCGGUCACGCCCCGUCUUAUCAGCGUUAUGUGGAUACAGUCUUGGUGGGUGUAGUCUUGGCCGGCUUCUGGGAAUCGGCUCUCUUCAUGGCCGGCUUCUGGGAGUCGGUCCUCUUGGGGCCGGCUUCCUGGAGUCGGCCAUCUCGUAGCUUCCUUAGGGAAGGUUUCUGAGACCGGGUCGCCUUCUGGUAGCCGGCCCUGGGGAUAGCCGGCCGGGGGAAGGCGGCCCUGCGCUCUGUAUGCUUAAAGGCUCGAAUGACCUGAUAAUUUUUCGAAGAGCCAGGGGGAGUCGGUUAGGCUACCCGUGACCAUUUACUCCGACACUAAUGAUAGCUGAACUGUCUUAUUUCUGAACUACUUGUUUCUGCUUUUACACACGUACGGCAACAACGAUUAUCCGUUUUGCUUUGCUUUCAGACGAAUCACACUUUUACCAUGGUGUUUACCGUAGAUUUUUAUGAUCUCUUCAUCUGUCUUCGAUUGCUCAAUCCAGCAGACCAUGUUUUUUUCCUAUGCAACUUUUUGGAGUACUUGAUUUCUAAAACUGUAAGAUUGAGGAAUCAGUUCAGUCACGGUACCCAAUCUGACUACCAGAACUGGAAUUCAGACGGUAGCUUUGCACCUUGUCUGCCAAUCAGUCGACAACAGAUUAUUACAGCCAACCAUGCGCUAAAAUUGCCCAUGAAGAACAGGUGCUCGGUGAAAGGUGUCGAGAUGGCACAUUGCAAAAUAAAUCUACUACUCCCUCCGUCCCGUAAUACAAGAACGUUUUUGACACUAGCAGCUCACAGUCACUCUGGUAAGUGCUUUUUUUCGACAUGGUAGCUCAAAUCACAAGCUAAAAUGACGCCGGGGACUUCACCCUGCCUUCAUCUCUUCUUUUCUCACGUAGUUGUUGUGUACAUCAGGUUGCUGUGUCUCUUGUCUCUGCCCAUGUUCAGUUCGUGCUUUAUCUUCAGAACCAUUUCCUCCUUUUUUGCUGUGUAACCCGGAUACGGGUUUCCAUCUGAUCGUCAUUAAGACUUAUUCCAGUGGCAAUUGGAUUGGGUGUGAUGUGAAAUCAGGAGACAUGAAACAAGCAGGCAAAAGUUUUGGCUAAAGUUUUUUGCUGUGUAACCCGGAUACGGGCCGGUUAAAAAAGAAAGGGACGAUUCUCUCAACUCCAGUUCAGAAAACUUCACUGGAGCCCCAAAAUGGUAGUUUUUUGGGUCAAAUAUCGUCGAAAUUCAGAUUCAAGAAUCAUUUCUUGCAAUUCAGAUUCAAGAAUAAUGGGACCAGAGCUGUCAGAAGCGAACUGCAAGGAUGGUACUCCCGUACUGAAAAGGAAGCCGUAUUCUUGGUCAGAUCUCGUAAUAUUUCUUUCAGAUUCAAGAAAGAUUAGUUGCUUCAGUCAGUAUGCUGUUCCAUGUGCUAAUGUUUCUCGCAGUGCUAUUGAUAAUAUUUUUAUCGAGGUGACCAAAAUGAGAGUCGAUUGAACAGGAAUUUCAAAUAAUAUUAUAGAGGUGCAACAGCGGCAGUACAACAUAAUCAUAUACCACACCACACAAUACAACCCAAUCAACAAAUAAUAAUAUCACCAAACACUAGUCUUUCUCCCAAGAACUAUCGGUUCUCAGUCCUCCUCGCCUUCAGACACCCCUCCCACACAUCAUAAAUUGCUUGCUGCAUCAUCAUCCUUGAGGCGGAUCAG
rnacentral:lncRNA from 1 species